ACUUGAUGGUGGAGGAAAGGUAGAAGUCAAUGAUGGUGGUAGUGUUAGUGAUGAUACCCUAAUAGUUGAUGACCGAUCAUAAAGAAAUGGGAAAGCAAGUCCGUCAAGAGCCACUAACCAUGUCACAGUUGAGAAAGCUACUAGAGUACACGAGUAAUCUACAAGAUAUUCUUUCAAUGAAUAUAUUAUGCUCACUGAUGGAAGUGAAUGAAAAAGUUAUCAAGAAGCCCAAACAAGUGAAAAAAAUAAAGAAUGGUCAAGAGUUA
rnacentral:lncRNA from 1 species